UAGCUCAGUUGGUAGAGCAUGGUGUUUGCAAUGCCACGGUUGUGGGUUCGAUUCUCAC
rfam:Salmo salar isolate Sally breed double haploid chromosome ssa05, whole genome shotgun sequence.